UACGUAGGGGGCAAGCGUUGUCCGGAUUUAUUGGGCGUAAAGCGCUCGCAGGUGGUUCGAUGCUUCGUGCGUGAAAGACCCCGGCUCAACUGGGGAGGGUCGUGCGAUACGGUCGAACUGGAGGCCAGUAGGGGGAUGCGGAAUUCCGGGUGUAGUGGUGGAAUGCGUAGAGAUCCGGAGGAACACCAGCGGCGAAGGCGGCAUCCUGGACUGGUCCUGACACUCAUGAGCGAAAGCGUGGGGAGCGAUCCGG
rnacentral:rRNA from 1 species